rnacentral:rRNA from 1 species
UACGUAGGGUGCGAGCGUUGUCCGGAAUUAUUGGGCGUAAAGAGCUCGUAGGUGGUUUUGUCGCGUCGGCUGUGAAAACUCGGGGCUCAACCCCGAGCCUGCAGUCGAUACGGGCAAACUAGAGUGCGGUAGGGGAGACUGGAAUUCCUGGUGUAGCGGUGAAAUGCGCAGAUAUCAGGAGGAACACCGAUGGCGAAGGCAGGUCUCUGGGCCACUACUGACGCUGAGAAGCGAAAGCAUGGGGAGCGAACAGG